AGGCUGUAUAAAAGGAGAAAAAUCUCAGCAUUACCCUUGAUAAAGGAUGGAAGAAGUUUAACCCUAUGUGGUCCUAAUAACCUUUAAAGCACAUACACAGUUAAAACAUUGUCACCUCUUCUGCAGCAUCUAAAUACUAUAUUUU
rnacentral:ncRNA from 1 species